rnacentral:lncRNA from 1 species
UUUAGAGGUCAUCUAAUCUAAUGUUCCCAUUUUAUAGAUGCAGAAACUUAGGCUCAGGAAAGGAACUGACAUCUAAGGUCACAAAGGAAGCAAAUCAGCAAAGUCAGGCUUUCAACAGUGGUCAAGUAGCGACAGAACAUGGAACACCAGGAACAAGCAAAAUCCAAUGAUCGGUGCAAGAAGUUCAAGAUUUCUCAGCAGUUGUUUCAGUCUGGCCCACCAGCCCAUAGGUCCAGAGUGUGAAGGGCAUUGGACAAGCGCCCCCCCCCCCACUGGCAUCCAGGUCACAGAGUCCGGAACAGAAUCCAUGCCUGCUGUGAACACCACAUUGGAAACGUUUGUCACACUGUAUUAUCAUAUCCAGUUACUAGAUGCAAAAAGUUGAAGAAUCACCACGCUCUGGACAUUUAUGCAACCAUGUUACUGACUUGUAACCUACCUGAUGAGCCACCUAAAUCCCAAAGCUGUUUU